GGGGGAAAACUCAUAUAUUUAAAAUGUGUGUGUGUGCAUCUGUAUGCGCCUGUGUGCGUGUAUAUAUAUAACUAUCCAUCCUUUUUUCCACAUGAAGUUUAUGGAGUUUGGAACACUGAAUGUGGGAGCUCAGGGACUACUAUACUAAGGACAAUUGAGAAAACUAAGUUUCGUCCCAUUGCAUGUGCCUGUCUUUGAUCUCAAAUUGAAAGUCUCUGAGCCUCUUCUUCCACUCCAAAAGCAAAUAAAUAGUGAGAGAAAGAAACCUCUCUCCUCUCAGCACAUAGGGCCUCCGCGGCUGAAAAAUGAAGGUGACUGUUAGUCCGCGGCUGAAAAAUGAAGGUGACUGUUAGAGCUCUGAUGAACCUGUUUGGACAACAGACAGCAACAAAUACCUGUCUCAGUGGAGGAGUUUAAGAGCACUGCAGAGAUCCUCAGACAGUACAGAAUAUCUUGGCAGACAGAGGCUACUCUCUUUAUCUCAAAACAAUACCAGCCAAGCUCCUCUGUACCUACAACUGAACAGCUGCAGGAACAGGACAAGAGUAACCAACACAGCUUUUAAAUUUGAAUCUGCUUGUUUUAUUUUUAGAAGAAGAAAUAAAGGAAAAGACACGAAUUCUAUGCAAGAUGAGGUAUCUGAUUCCAAGGAAGAAAACUCUGCACAGCAGGUUGAAGCUACAGGGCCAUUCCUGACUGGUUUUUCUCUAUCCGGCUGCUUUACUUAUGGUCCUUCGAAACCAGCAGUUCCUGUGGAUCUGCGCUUAAAGUGGAUUUGCUGACAGAGCAGCGAAGGUACCUCUUCUGCUCUGCAGACGCUGGGGGCUCACUGAGCCGUUGCCAACCCUUGACAGCGAGACCAUGCUGAGCAGUGGGGCUGUGGCGCGCCUCUUCCUGCAUCCCAGGGGAGCCUGCUGCCGAAUGUGGCAAAACCCUCCAGAGGGUAACACAGUGGAUGAUUGAUUGUACCCGCCAGCUGGCUAACAUCAUAAUUAACAAAGUUGCUACCAUGUCUGAGAAGUUUAAUCGAAAAAAUUGCUGGCAGUAUGAUGGCAUUGUCACAGAGAUCACAAGCGCUGUGGUGUCGACUUUUGUAGUGGUAGUAAAGCCGCAAGACUAUGUAGAUGUACUGCGAAGUCGUUCACUGGGAUAACUAAAGUGAGAUGUGAUUGCAGACGGCGCAUGACUGGGCUCCGGUAGAACUGGCCAGUGGCAACCUGUCUGUGCUCUGCUCAUCACUGCUGGAGCAGCUACGCCACGCGAACGCUGAGUUUGAGAGGAGCAAUGAACCACUACAUGCAGGAAUGUCAGCAGGAAUGCAUGGAAGCAAGUCAGCAGGGUUUAGCUGGUGGAUCACAUUGUGAAAUCUGCAGCCAUGAAAGUCCCUCCAUUUAUUGCACUCUUCAAAACGAAAUAUUAGCAUGGGAGGCUAAGCCGGAGGCUAAUAACGAAGGAGUCAGUGAAGGAGACCAAUGCCAUGAGGGUUAUCUCACAGCCCCAGAUGCUGGAUAAGUUGAAGGAGGCAGAAACGCUUUUGGAUGACAUUCAGGAAGGCCAUGAAUGAUUAUGUGGUGAAGAAAAGACUGUUCUUCCCAAGGGUUUUUUUCUCUCAAUGCAGCAAUUAUCUCUCAGGAAUGCUUUUUGAGACAAAGGAUCUACUCUAUGUCCAACCACACCUAAGGAAAUGCUUUGAAGGAAUUGCCAAGCUCACUUUUAAUCAUGAGAAAGGAAUUACCCACAUGGAGUCAGCAGAAAAUGAAAAAGUAGAGCUCGUGCUGUGAAUAAUUCCAGCAAGUGCCAAGGGGCUAGUUGAGAAAUGGCUUCAUGAGGUGAAUAUCUUUAGCUCUUACUUAGGCUUUAGUUACUGUAUAAUCAUUUUCUCUUUUAGGAGCAAUGAAUAUCAUAAGCAUAUUUCCUAACUAAAUGGCUCUCUGAAUUGUUUGUCAAGAUGUUGACAGAUUUCAGCUUUAUUGUUGUUAUUUAUUGCAACUUAUUUAGCAUCUGCAAACAUGCAGAAAUUAAUUCUAAUAAAAAGCUUUGAGUCAGUUUGUCAGCUGAAAUGGGUCUGUGUCUGAAGCCAUAUGUGUGAAUAUAUGUUUGAGUCUACAUGUAUGUGGUUUUGUGCUUUCAUGGUUUAAUGUCUGUAGUCCAGAAGGAUAAUGUUUAAAAGGCAAUCAAAGAAAUGUAAGAUUUUGAGUGCUUCCCACCCUGCAGAACAUGUGUCCUAUUGUGUUGGAGCGGUUUAAUUUCCAAUCAUUUUAACAAAAGGGAAGAGAAAUUGUGUCACUGAUAACACUCUAACCUUUCCCCUUUGGGCCUGUCAAUCAAGUUCAUUCAUUUCAGUACAGAAUUAGUUUGGUGACCUUUUUUUUGUUUGCUAUUUUUACCUUGCCAACAGAGGAAAGGCAAUGCACCCUUUAGUUGUUUUUUGUCUCUGGCCCAAACUCCUAUUUUUUUUCCCAUGUGCUUCCCUAGCUUUGUUUUUUGGACUAGUUUAAAGCACAAAGUUAUCUUAGUAGCCAAGGAUAAAAAAAUAAUAAGAAGGAGCUACGGACCUGCAAUGGGUAAGUUGCAGUCCUGAGGAGUCCAGAAAAAGCCCAAAUUAUCAGUACAUCAAACCUAAAAUUUGCUUAUAUACUUUUUAGUUUUAAUCUUCUUCCACAAGUGAAAUAGAGUUGGAGAAGGUGAGCAGCUGUGUUUAUUUCAAUACGUCUCAUUUAACCUUCAGCUAAAAACAAAUUGGAAGGUUUGGGAGUGCAUUAAUGUGGACCCAAUUAGUGUCUCUUUCUCCCUCAAAAGUGCAACCUGAGAUCAAUGAAUAUAAACUAGAGUUUCAUAUGCAGUCUUUAAAUCAUUUGCAUGUUUUAUGCAUGAUAAUUGAAUUUAUUUAUGCACUUCCUUUCAUUUAAUGAUUUCUUGCUCUUUUC